rnacentral:misc_RNA from 1 species
UCCUUUCUUGAACUACAAGGACCUACCAAAUAAAACAAUUUAAUUGCCAAAAUAAGUACCGAGCCACUAUGUUGCACACUGAUAUGACAUGGCUGAAUCAACAAGGCUACAAGACUAGUAAUGGGCCUAGACAACUCAGAGUUUAUACAAGGAGAAAAAUAAGAAGAAAUGGAGCAGAGGUUUUAGAGAAUUCUGGAAGUGCUGACUUGGGUGACAGAAUAGUAACUGUUGUUUAUGAAGAGGAUUCUCGAAGCACUGACAUGGAUAACAAAUUGGUGCUCUUUACAUGUGCUGCAGAAAGAUAUAAGAAACCAUCCAUGAAAGAAAGAAGGCAUCCUUAUCUCAUGUGAUCUUGCACUCGGCUUAGUGCUGGGCCUGAGUAGUUUCUUUUGGGAAUUCUCUGGUUUAAUUUGUCUAUGUAAUAGCCAUUACUGGCUAAACUAAGUUGUAUUGUUGUUUUUACUUCUUCAAAAUAAUACCAGAUUGCCUUCCUCUACAUUUCAGUGUUUUGCUCUGUUCAUUUAUUUUGAUUCGUUCCUAACUCUAUCAGAAUUGAUAAAGGAAAAUUUUGAUUACACAACUUGGAGAGAAAAUUACCACUUGAAUAGUAAUUUUUAUACUGAUCGAUGCAUUCAUUUAAAUGUAGAAUUUUUUUAUUGUACAUUUUUCAGGAAGCAAUUUCUAGUGAGUCUAGACCAAAUGGAGAAGUCAGAAAGAAUCGUCUUGUUUCCAAGUAUUAAUAUUUUUUUCCUAUCCAAUAUUUUCCCAAUUAAGCAGUAUCAAUUUUCAUCCCCAAAGCUGUGACUGGAAACACAUGCAGCCCAAACUGUAAAAAUAAUUAAAAUGCAGACCCCUUGAUCUAAUAUAGAGCUUAAAUUAAGGGAUUGACAAAUGAAACUGAAGAGACACUUUUGCUGAUGAGCAACAAGUCUUAAGGGUAUGAAACUAAGUUGCAAUAAAUGCCAGAAUUUCAAGAGAACAACUUUAACCAAUAUUCUAGCUGAAACUUCGGAGAGCAACAUAUAGAAAAUGUUGAACAAACCAAAACCCAUAAGAUUACCAAAUACUCGUGACAUUGAAUUUUAACUAAAUAUACAACAAAGCACUCAUGGUGUAUAGAAUUAUAGUGUCAUUAAUGGAGUGCAUGCAGGCUUGCGUGUUCAAAGAAUAAAUAUAUAAUUAAAAGCUCAACAACAAUAAUUCUAUUGAGAUUUAACAUUACUGCAGAACAACUACAUAACUAUAGAAGCUGUGCUUCGAAAUACAGCCCCAUAGCUGUCAUCCUAGAAAUGCAGAAAGACUGCCUCUUAAAAAAUGAGCCCAGCAAAGGUCCAGUUCCACAUUCAAUCAAUUUCACAAUUCCAGAAACAAGACUAACAAUUAUCCAAAGAUUAAUUUCAGCACCAGCCCAACUACAAUUCUUUCUAUUACGAAUUCUCAAACCCAAUUUCCAGCACAAAGGUGGCAGAAAUUUAAAGGUUACUACUUUUUUAUAGCCAUGAAAAAUAUAGGAAGCCAUAUUCCACCAUUUAGGUUCAGUAUGUCCACAGAAUCAAUAUAAUACAGAAUUUUAGGUAGCAUGUUCAAAUAGCCACCCCAUUAUUAUACGCUUCACUCUUUGCUUAUUUUGGAAAGAAAAAGAGAAGGGGGGAAAAAAGAGCUGAAAACACUUUUCAGUCCACCACUGAUUAAAUUUUGGCUCAACAAUAACACGUUGAAUUAAAUAGAACUUUAUGUGGGUCGUAGCCAUGGUUUCAAAUUGCGGUCGUGGUCAUGGGUAAAGGAAAUAGGCCUAUAACAGCCAUAACAUAACAGUAAUGGCCUGACACUAUGCAAACUUUUUUGAAAAAUUUGGAAAGUUCAUAAAAUGACUAAAUAUUGGUAGAUACAAGUAAAAUU